CACGGGGGGGAGCAAGCGUUGUUCGGAAUCACUGGGCGUAAAGGGCGUGUAGGCGGUCAAGUAAGUGGAAUGUGAAAGCCCCCGGCUUACCCGGGGAUCUGCAUCCCAAACUGCUUGGCUUGAGUACGGGAGAGGAUAGGGGAAUUCCUGGUGUAGCGGUGAAAUGCGUAGAUAUCAGGAGGAACACCGGUGGCGAAGGCGCCUAUCUGGCCCGAUACUGACGCUGAGGCGCGAAAGCUAGGGGAGCAAACGGG
rnacentral:rRNA from 1 species